GAUGAAGAACGUAGCGAAAUGCGAUACUUGGUGUGAAUUGCAGAAUCCCGUGAACCAUCGAGUCUUUGAACGCAAGUUGCGCCCGAAGCCAUUAGGCCGAGGGCACGCCUGCCUGGGCGUCACACGUCGUUGCCCCCCCAUCUACUCCUUCGGGAUUGCGGGGGGCGGAUGAUGGCCUCCCGUGCGCCUCGUCGCGCGGUUGGCAUAAAUACUAAGUCCUCGGCGACGCACGCCACGACAAUCGGUGGUUGCGAAACCUCGGUUGCCCGUCGUGUGCGGUCGUCGCGCAUCGAGGGCUCGAAAAAAUUGCCGGGCUCCGGCUCGGCUUUCAACGCGACCCCAGGUCAGGCGGGGUUACCCGCUGAAUUUAAGCAUAUCAAUAAGCGGAGGA
rnacentral:misc_RNA from 1 species